GCCCUCGUAGUUCAACGGAUAGAACAAUUCCGUCCUAAGGAAUAGAUGUAGGUUCAAUUCCCGCCGAGGGCACCA
rnacentral:tRNA from 1 species